rnacentral:rRNA from 1 species
UACGGAGGGUGCGAGCGUUGUUCGGAAUCACUGGGCGUAAAGCGCGUGUAGGCGGCCUUGUAAGUCUGGUGUGACAGCCCGAGGCUCACCCUCGGCAGUGCACUGGAAACUGUGAGGCUUGAGUACCGGAGAGGAAGGUGGAAUUCCUGGUGUAGCGGUGAAAUGCGUAGAUAUCAGGAGGAACACCGGUGGCGAAGGCGGCCUUCUGGACGGAUACUGAUGCUGAGCCGCGAAAGCGUGGGGAGCAAACAGG